rnacentral:pre_miRNA from 1 species
AUGCUAGUCACGUGGGGAUCCUGCUGGAAUCUGGAUUCUGAUUUACUAGAUAUGGAUUGAAGCCUGAGAUUCCGCAUUUCCAAUAAGCUUCCAAGUGAUGUUAGU